rnacentral:lncRNA from 1 species
UAUCUUUUAGUUGAGUAUAUAUCUUUGAGUUGAGUAUCUGUCUCUGAGUCCAGUAUCUAUCUUCUGAGUUGAGUAAGUUUGAGUAGUUUUGAGUAUUCCUUGAGUUGAGAAAGUUUGAAAAGAGGUAAGUUAUUCAGUUUAUUCCAGUUUUUCUUCUAGCCUAUGUUGUUUAGCUUUCCAGCUUACAUACUCGUACAUUCCACGUACUGAGCCAUUUGGCCUGCAUCUUCUUAUGAUACAGACACAGGUAUUCAUGAUCAUCAACGGGAGAUUCGUUGAUACAUCCGGGAGUUCCAGUUAGCUAUGACAAGCCUCCUUGCUUUCGGAGGAUUUCAUUUACCUUUCAGUUGUAUCAGUUGUUAGGAGGUCGUGGGUCUUGUCCCGGCUUCCAUCUUUAUCAGUUAGAGGCUUUAUAGAUAGACAGUAGAGUUUCAGAAGUCUUUUCAUUUAUUUUGUUAAAUGUUUUGAUGACUAAGUUGCCUUUUAUGGCGAGUUGUAUAUAUAUUCU